UACGUAGGGUGCAAGCGUUGUCCGGAAUUAUUGGGCGUAAAGAGCUCGUAGGCGGUUUGUCGCGUCAGCUGUGAAAACUCGGGGCUCAACCCCGAGCCUGCAGUCGAUACGGGCAGACUAGAGUGCUGUAGGGGAGACUGGAAUUCCUGGUGUAGCGGUGAAAUGCGCAGAUAUCAGGAGGAACACCGGUGGCGAAGGCGGGUCUCUGGGCAGUAACUGACGCUGAGGAGCGAAAGCGUGGGGAGCGAACAGG
rnacentral:rRNA from 1 species